GUCCCUGUUCUUGUAGUUGGAGUACGUCUCCUUUCUUGCCUGUAGUGUUGUAGCCAUCUCGAUCUGGAGUUCAGUGCAAUCGAUGACAGAGAUGAGGUGUGGGUAACGUCUGUAGCACUCAGGAAUUCUGAAAGUGACAAUUGAACAAAUGUGUUAAGCACAAGACAAUACUUAAAAUAUGUAUACUAAGAGACUCAGGACAUUCUAGAAACUUUGUUGCAGUGCCUUACGCACAAGGUAAUACUUCUGUAUUAAAGACUCAGGACAUUCUAGAAACUUUGUUGCAGUGCCUUAAGCACAAGGUAAUACUUCUGUAUUAAAGACUCAGGACAUUCUAGAAACUUUGUUGCAGUGCCCGAAGCACAAGAGACUGCUUUUGUAUUAAAGAUUCAGUACAUACAUGUUUGAAACUUCAUUACAGUGUCUUAAGAACAAGAGAUUAGUUUUGCAUUAAAGGACUUGUUGUAUUUUGAUCAUGUAUCAACCUUUCAGAUACAUAUGUAUGUGUACUCAGUCAGAAUAAAGUAACAUGGCAGCCACUGCAUUCUUUAA